UACGGGGGGAGCAAGCGUUGUUCGGAUUUACUGGGCGUAAAGGGCGCGUAGGCGGUCAGCACAAGUCAGUUGUGAAAUCUCCGAGCUUAACUCGGAAAGGUCAACUGAUACUGUGCGACUAGAGUGCAGAAGGGGCAACUGGAAUUCUUGGUGUAGCGGUGAAAUGCGUAGAUAUCAAGAGGAACACCUGCGGCGAAGGCGGGUUGCUGGGCCGACACUGACGCUGAGGCGCGAAAGCCAGGGGAGCGAACGGG
rnacentral:rRNA from 1 species